UGUGAACGUAGUAUUUAAAUUCUCUUUGGUGUUGUCCACUUCAAUCUGCAUGUCGGUGUGUAUUGUCUGUUCAUUUUGCAAAUAAGUUUAAUUUAAUUUAACCGAAAACGGGAACAAUAUGUUGAUUGUGAGUUGUGAAAGCAGUCGAAAAGGACGUCAAUUUAUUUAGUUUACCAAGUGACGAGAAAAGACUCAAAGUAUGGUUAGAUUUAAUUGUGAGCGUUUGUUGUCAAAAUAACACUGAGAGAUGGUAUAGGACACCCACAAAGUUAAGACCUCGUUAGAUAGAGCUUAUCCCACAUUGUUUAUUGAAGAAGAAAUUUAGGUGCUGUCCCUAAAGGUACAUGUGUGAUGCCCAAGCCCUGACCUAAAAUUCUGCUUGGGGCUGUUAUGAGUGCUUCAACUCCAAAGUCAUCAAGACAACGAGUCAAUUGUUCAAAAGAACACACUAAUUGUGCAAGACUGUACAAGGAAUUUGUAAAGUCUCACAAACAACUACAAUUACAAUUAUGAGCAACAUGACUUGAAAUUUUCUAAAGAAACAUUUUUUCAAAAACUAAUCAAUAAAGUAAACCCAAGAAAAAUUAUAUGGAUUCACAUCAAAUAGUCUGCAAAAACACUAAACGGAAGAAAAUUUACGAAUGAAGAAAAAUUAAUAUCAGUCACUUCAUUAUAGUGUAGCAGAGCCCAAAAUGCUACAAAUUUAAGCGGAAAAUAUUAAUUUUGUCAUCAAAAGAUACAUUAAAUAAAAUGAUAGCAGAGCCUAAUAUUGAAGGCAUUCAGAGCCAUAUCUGUGAAGUUGUGAAAAAAUAGGUUGACUUAUGGCAGGAAAAUAAAAAAUACUGCUCAGUAUUAUUUGAAGAAGUGGCAGUAGGGAAUAGCUGUAACUUAUGAAAAACAUAAAGAUUUAAUUGAUGGUUUUGUGGAAAUAAAUGAUUUUGAAACUAUAAAUGACUUCGCCGACCACACAUUAGUAGUCAUGUUACAUGAUGCUGUUUAUAAAUGGCAGAAACCCUUAGUUUUUUAUUAAAUGAUGAACAUGUGCUACCUGAUAAAAUAAAGAAAAUGAAAGUAAAAAAUUGUGUUCUGAAUAAAACGGUAUCUGCCACAUUAUCUUAGACAUCUCAAUUUUUUUGGUGCUUUCCAUCAAAACCACAUAUUCAUAAUUUCCUCCAUCUUCCGGAUAAUAUCAGCACUGACUGAAGACGAGGACAAAAAAACUUGCAAAACCAAAUAAAAGAAGGAAAAUGGCUACUCUACUAUAAACUAUGCUCAAAAAUGAAUCAUUAAUACUUGUUGGUCUGCACAAACCACAGUACUCCAUUGUAUGUCUUAGAGGAUACAGCCCACGAAAAGCGUCAUACCGUUAUAAGACUACCACUACACUACUGCCAGUAUAAUCCGAUCAAGCUUAUCUGGUCCCAAGUCAGAGGUUUGUUUCCUAAACACAUCCUUCAGGAUUGUGAUCGCCGCAAUGAGGACAUUUCCCCUAUAAUAAUCAGAAGGUUACGCUGCCAGACGCAGCACAACACCGUCUUUCAAGGAAAAUUAAAUGUUGAAAAAGGAAAAUAAAAACAACAGUAGACUGGAAGAAGGUUGGGAAGGGGAACGUCUGAUUUGAUAAUAUUUUCUAACAAGAGUUUAUAUAAAUUUACUAGAUUGUUCUAGCGUUUCAGAAACUGCUUCAGAAAUGGUUUUUGGGUCUACUCCUUUAAGAGAAUAAAUGUAUUUUAUAUUAAAA